AGUAAUUUAAUUUGUAUUAAAUAAAUUUUAGUUUUUUGAUUAGUUUAAAUUGAAAUAAAUAACUA
rnacentral:tRNA from 1 species